AGCUGUCCUCAUUGAGUCAUCCCUCCCAGAGCAGGAAGAGCAGAGGUUCUGGGAAACAACCCCAAGGAGAGAGACAGGGCAUUUAUAAAACAGCAUGUAAGCAUCUCUGCAGUUGCUGUCCCCAGAGCCCACUUCCUGGAUAUUGCCAGCUGCCUGGACCAACCUUUCCGAAAGAUCAGCCAGGUCACAGUGAGGGUCAAAGGUGAGCCACGGGCCUCAGCAGCUGCUGAGUGGAUGGUGCGUGGGACUCAGGAAGUGACGUUCUCUCCCCGCCCAGCCCCCUUCCUCAGUCUAUUGCUCCGAAUCCUGGACCACACACUGCGUGCUGAGGCUCCAUCGCUGUGCUGGGUGAGGGGUGGAGGACUGUCCAGCUGACAGCCACCCAGGAGGCCUGCCCAGGAGACCCAGCCCAGCCUCUCCUUGGAACCUGAAGAACUCCAGGCAGCUGAUGGGACACUGGGGCCCAGCAGGAGGCCACUGGAGGCUCCAAGGGCUCUGAAAUGUUGAGAACUUCCCUGCAGGUACCAGCGAAGAGGGCAAGAACACAGCACUACUUCCUUGGAUACUGUUUCCCUCCUCAGAGGGGUUUUCUGAGCUGCCCUGGGUCCUGUGAGGAAGAUCUCCCCUUCCUGUAAAGACACCAGUCCUACUGGAUCAGGGCCCACCCGUGUGACUUCACUUUUACUUGAGUACCUCUCACAGACCCUAACUCCAAAUCAGGUCACUUGCUGAGGUACUGCAUGUGAAGACUUUGACAUUUGAAUUUUGAGGGGGCCACCGUUUAACCUGAACCACCAAGGACAGAGCCAAAGACCCUGGGUGACAGGCCCAGAACAGGACCUGGUGGAGGCUCUUCUUUAGGGGAGAGAGGGAAAUGGGAGCCACCACUGGCAGAGCCUGAAGGCAGGGCAGCCAGAAAGAAGCUGUGGGAGUCCCCACCAUGGAAGACCCUGCCGAGCAUCCUGUGUCUCCUGAAGCAGACCCUGACAUGAGGACUGGGGGCACGUGUUUAUUAAGGGCGAUCCCCGGAAGGAGGAGAUAACCAGGCAGAAGUCCUAGCAGAGUAUGCCCACGCUGGUUAGUGCUGCUGCAAAGAUGAGCCGAAGACCAUGAGAGACCUCCAGGUGGUCCUUCUGGGGAGAAGAAAUGGGUUUUGGCCCCAAAUCCUUCUGCUGCAUUUUUCCCCUAUCCCUGGGAAGCCAUGAGACCUCAAACCUGUGUUCCCAAGGAGGCGAGCUGCUGUUCCCAGGUGAUGAUAUGAUGUGCUUGGGGAAAGUAAGUGGCUGCCAGACAUGGCUGAGAGCUGUUGUCACUGCCGUCAAGUGCAUGUCUCCAAGCCAUAUCACACGGCGUCCCUCGAUGUGAGGCCACAUGGCAAGUGGGCCGUGGAUCUCCCUCUGCCCUUUGCAAGCACGUAAGACAGCAGAUUUUGCAGAUACCUUGUGGCGCAGGGGAAUUUCCUUUGGCCAGGUCUGAAGAAAUAAAGCAGCAGGCACCGAGAACAAAGCCAAGGCUUUCAAAAGACAAGGAGCCAAAAAACUUACUCAAAAUAAAAGUAGUUUUAAAAUG
ensembl:lncRNA novel transcript